rnacentral:lncRNA from 1 species
UCAGUCGGUUCUUCUCCGCCUCAAGAAGACCUCGGCGAUCGAGAACUCCCGAUGGCUCUGGAAUGCCCCUUCCCCCAACAGUAAAUAAAGGAGGUAGUAGUAAUCCCUCGUCUUGUCCACGACGCUCUGACGACCUUUCCCCUGUCUCUGUCGGUUCUCCUACGCCCUCAAGAAGACCUCAGGUGACGACGACAUCGGUCCUGUGUACCCCGCCGCCUACUCCCUCCCCUAGUAUCAGCAGGUUGUCUCGCCCGAUCCUCUCUUUGUUUCCGUUUCUCGUUGGGUAGCCGCGAGUAUAAUGAUAUCUUCUUCUUGAAAGACCCGUUCCUUGUUGGUUUUAUUUGAUAAAAUCUUGAUCUCCCGUUGGAAUCCGAGAUGCAUUUCGUUGUUGCUGGAUGGUUUGAUGUUGUUUCCUAGGAUGCGUGAAUCUAAAGAAAUUUCGUAUAGUUUCGUUUAUCAUUCAUGGUAUAUAAGCCUAAGAGAUAUCAAGGCUCUCCCUCUUUCCAUUAAAUUUAAAGGAUCUUUUGAAUCUUUCCUUCUUUGUUUGUUCUCUUUCCUUUGUACGCAAGAAGAGUUUCUUGUUUUGAGAUUAAUAACGAAGGAGCAUGAUAUUGAUGCCUAGUGUUGUUACCAGCUGAAAUUUCUGGGUACAAGAGUGGACGAUUGUUCAUAUUGUUAGUAAUGAACGCGGUGGUAACAAUUUCCAGGUGUCAGCAUUUUCGCAGAUAUUUGGAAUAGAAACUAAUUUGAAGAGGUACCCAACAUAAGAAAGAUUUAGUUCGUCUUUCGGCUGAGAGUAAUCCGAAUUACUUUGAUUUGGAUUAGGGUUUAUUUUAUCAAGAACAUCUCAUACAGACAAUUCUUUAAUUUCUUUCAUAAUGACUGUUCCUACGAUCUUUUGUCUUCUUUUUUUUUUUGCGUUGAUACUGUGCAAAACAAUAAAUCCUACGCUAUAAAUGUUCUUUUCUCAUAAUUUCUUGUGCGUCAACCACAAUUUUGGUUUGCGCGAAACCAUAUGCUAUAUACAUGGGAACUUAUAAUUGUUGGAGACACUGUAUCAUAACGGUCAUGCAUGUUUCGGGAAGAAAGCACCCUUAAUUAAUUUGAGAAAAUUGUAACAG